rnacentral:lncRNA from 1 species
UGCGCUUCCCCUGGGCUCGGCCACCUUCAGCUCUGUUCUGCCCCGGAGAGUGGAGAGCGGAGAGCAGAGAAUGGGUGGAUCAUGCAGAGCGACCGAUCCGGUUCACAGGAGAGGCCCAGGCUCGUCUGAAUGUGCAGCGAGGUGGCUUGGCCAGGGACUUUGACGUGGAUGGGCUGCUUCCCGGUCACCAUGGUGUGAGCCUCUUUCCUCUCCCAUGGCCGUCCGCCAUGAUGCUCCUGCCUUGGAGCAGCCGACCGAGGACUGAACCCCCUGAGACCACUGGAGCAGCCGACCGCGGACUGAGCCCCCUGAGACCACUGGAGCAGCCGACCGCGGACUGAGCCCCCUGAGACCACUGGAGCAGCCGACCGCGGACUGAACCCUCUGAGACCAUGAUCCCAGUUCAGCAUCUCCUAAGUUAUUUUUCUUGGGCGUUUUAAUACAGCAACAGGGGGCUGGUUAACACAGUACCCGACCUGGAAAUAUCCAUAUCCACAGACACAAAAGUCAGCAUGUGACAGAUCACAAGCAGCCCUAUUCACGGUAGUCCUAAAGCAGAAACAACGUAGGUGUCCACAGUAGGUGAAUGGAUGAACAGCAUGGUCCACUGUGGAAUAUUAUGCAGCCAUGAAAAGGAGCAAAGGUCUCUCUAAUACAAAGUGGAUGGAUCUUGAGGGCGCAGGGCUCAGUGGAGAAGCCCAACAUGAAAGACCCUCAGCGUGGGACUGUGUGGGUAGACUUCGGCAGACCUGAGAUGGGCAUGGCAGCUUCCUUCUGAGGUGCCACACGCUCUGAGUGGAUGGUGCUGACGGCCACUCACCCCUGAGGCCGAGCCUGUGGCCUUCGAGUUGUCUGCUUAAGCAGAGGGUGAUCCGUGGGGUCUGAGCUGGGUCACAACGCACCUAUUUUUUGUUUUGUGCAACCAGGGGUGGAACGCAGAACCUUGCGCUUGUGAGGCAGGCACAGUGGCACUGAGCUACAUCCCCUGCCCCUCAAUGGACCUGUUUUUAAAAGAAAGACCAAGGGCCGGGGAUGUAGCUCCGUGGUUCUGCCACCUGCCACCACGUGCAAGGUCCAGAGUUUGAUCCCCAGUACCAAGAAAAUAAAUGCAUAAAGGAAAGACCAGG